UAGGUGUAAAUGAUGCGAGUUAAGUGUGGGGGCAUCUACGAGAUGGCCCUGUGCUGUAGGGUAGCCGUUAAACUCGCUGCCUGGGGAGUACGGUCGCAAGGCUGAAACUUAAAGGAAUUGGCGGGGGAGCACCACAACGGGUGGAGCUUGCGGUUUAAUUGGAUUCAACGCCGGAAAUCUUACCGGGACCGACAGCAACAUGAAGGCCAGGCUGAAGACUUUGCCGGAUUAGCUGAGAGGUGGUGCAUGGCGUAGUCGUGU
rnacentral:rRNA from 1 species